UGUAGUCAUAUGCUUGUCUCAAAGAUUAAGCCAUGCAUGUCUCGGCAUAAACCUACGUAUGGUGAAGCUGCGAAUGGCUCAUUAGAACAGUUGUGGUUUAUCUGGUACUUGAAAGAUAGAUGGAUAACUGUGGUAAUUCUAGGGCUAAUACAUGCGUAAAAACCGGACUUCGAGGAACGGUUGUACUUAUUAGACAAAGAACUAAUCCGUUUCGGCGGCAUUUAGAUGAAUCAUAAUAAAAGCAUGGAGCGUAUGACUUGUGUCGGCGCUACACCAUUCAAGUUUCUGACCUAUCAGCUUUCGACGGCAGGGUAUUGGCUUACCGUGGCAUUGACGGGUAACGGGGAAUUAGGGUUCGAUUCCGGAGAGGAAGCCCGAGAAACGGCUACCACAUCUAAGGAAGGCAGCAGGCGCGCAAAUUACCCACUCCUGACACAGGGAGGUAGUGACAAGGAAUAGCAAUGCAGGUGGCAAUUGCCAUUGUGCUAUUGGAAUGAGUGGACUUUAAAUCCCUUUUCGACUACCGAUUGAAUGGGU
rnacentral:rRNA from 1 species